rnacentral:rRNA from 1 species
UACGUAGGGGGCAAGCGUUGUCCGGAAUCAUUGGGCGUAAAGCGCGUGUAGGCGGUUCGAUAAGUCUGCUGUGAAAGUCCAGGGCUCAACCCUGGGAUGCCGGUCGAUACUGCCGGACUAGAGUUCGGAAGAGGCGAGUGGAAUUCCCGGUGUAGCGGUGAAAUGCGCAGAUAUCGGGAGGAACACCUAUGGCGGAAGGCAGCUCGCUGGGACGUUACUGACGCU